UACAAGCAUACAUCCCAGGAC
rnacentral:piRNA from 1 species